rnacentral:rRNA from 1 species
UACGAAGGGGGCUAGCGUUGCUCGGAAUCACUGGGCGUAAAGGGUGCGUAGGCGGGUCUUUAAGUCAGGGGUGAAAUCCUGGAGCUCAACUCCAGAACUGCCCUUGAUACUGAGGAUCUUGAGUUCGGGAGAGGUGAGUGGAACUGCGAGUGUAGAGGUGAAAUUCGUAGAUAUUCGCAAGAACACCAGUGGCGAAGGCGGCCCGCUGGGCAGUGGCUGACGCUGAGGCGCGACAGCGUGGGGAGCAAACGAGG